UCCUUGCCCAGGCACUCUUGGCAGGAACCCAAAAUGAUCUGCGGGAGGUGAGUGGGCCGGGGGGACUGGAGGGCAUCCAGUCUGGGAACUGGGGGACACUUUGGUCCCCCCAUCCCUCGCUGGCACCGGGGACAUCCCAGUGACCAGCCAGGGCUCCUGGUCUCUCUCCAGGUGGAUUUAGUGGAAGUUGGGAUCCUGAAGAUGGCUCAGCCCCCUGUGGUUGAGAAGGUGCUGGGUCCUGUUGGUGAGAAAGGCGUGGCUGCAUCCCUGGAUGUCUGAGGCCUGGUGGUGACACCCGUGCCCUGUCCCCCUCCAGCAGCAUGAGGAGAUGAUCAUCCCUG